AACGAACGCUGGCGGCAGGCUUAACACAUGCAAGUCGAGCGCCCCGCAAGGGGAGCGGCAGACGGGUGAGUAACACGUGGGGAUCUGCCCAAUGGUACGGAAUAGCUCCGGGAAACUGGAAUUAAUACCGUAUGUGCCCGCAAGGGGAAAGAUUUAUCGCCAUUGGAUGAACCCGCGUCGGAUUAGCUAGUUGGUGUGGUAAAGGCGCACCAAGGCGACGAUCCGUCGCUGGUCUGAGAGGAUGAUCAGCCACACUGGGACUGAGACACGGCCCAGACUCCUACGGGAGGCAGCAGUGGGGAAUAUUGGACAAUGGGCGCAAGCCUGAUCCAGCCAUGCCGCGUGAGUGAUGAAGGCCUUAGGGUUGUAAAGCUCUUUCGCCGACGAAGAUAAUGACGGUAGUCGGAGAAGAAGCCCCGGCUAACUUCGUGCCAGCCGCCGCGGUAACAC
rnacentral:rRNA from 1 species